CUCCAAGAAAAGCUCGCGGAAGACGAGGUUCUGCUGAGAGAGAGGCUCCAAGCCGUCUGGGAAGUGUAGUCCAGUUGGCGUAGCAGUAGUUUCGUGGGGGGAGCCGAGGUUCCGGGAAGGGGCUGAGCCGACUUGAAAAGAGAUUAUGACUGUACCUUUUAAUUCUGUAGCUGGAGCACAAGAAGUGUUUGUUUAAUGAAUGACGUACACACAUAUAGGAUCUGUUUGGACGCUGAGGAUAAUCCUGUGAAUUGCUAAUAGUUCACUGGGUUUGGCCCUUAGUGUUGACUUCAGUAUGCUGAGACGAAAACCAACACGCCUAGAGCUAAAGCUUGAUGACAUUGAAGAGUUUGAGAGCAUUCGAAAGGACCUGGAGGCAUAAAGACCAGAACUUAAUUCAGAAAAGAGUCGAUUUUAGAAGGGACUACCAAAGAAAGAAGCCUAAAAUCUUGGUUCUGGUGUGACUCUAGAUGGAAUCUUGCCAUGUUGCCCAGGCUGGAAUGCAAUGGCUAUUCACAGGCAUGAUCCCACUACUGAUCAAUACAGGAGUUUUGACCUGCUCCAUUUCUGACCUAGGCUGGUUCACCAGGCAACCUGGAGGUUCCCUGCUCCUGGGCUUGUUUCUUGAUGCUUAAUGAGCCCCUCUUGGAUGCUACUCUUUCUUGAGUCAGCUAAGAAGAGAAGUCUGGCUCUAAACAAUUCGAUCUGGAAAGAGAUGGAUGAGCCAUUUCUUCACCUAUAUGUGGAUCACCUGAAACUGAAACCUGAGUGUCCCGUCUCUUAAUUUGUGGGUCACAGAAUCCCACUAAGAAUUGGAAGGACCUUAGCAGUCAUUGCAUGGUGCUCCUCAGUAAUACUCAAAUUCUAUAAUAACUGUUCAAACACCUAUGGGAACUUGUCAGGCAAGUGUGUUGCUCCCUUCCAGAAAUAAUAAGGAAGCAAAAUUCUCUUCCUAGCCAAGCCAAAUACAGAAGAUGCCCCAUAGGAAUCUGAAUCUUGCUAUUUGACAGUGAUGAUGCUGAUGAACCGGUACUCCAAGCUAAACCAGUAUUUGUACUGCAGAUACUAUUUGCAUGUACUUCUCAAGCUGUAAUUUGCUUCUAAGGCUGCACUCUGAAGAACUAAUUUCUGGCCUGCAAAAAGAAACCUAGGUAUCUUCACCCCCACUUUUGAUAUCAAUACACUGAUUUUUAAGCUCACUAUGUGGCAUUUAAAUCUGUUGCAGACUUAUCUUUCCAGACUAAUCUCAAUCUACUCUCCUUCACAUUCAUAUGUUCCACUGAAACUGACCUACUCACUUUUCCUCAAUAAUUUUUUUUUUUUUUUUUUUUUU